UACGUAGGGCGCAAGCGUUAUCCGGAAUUAUUGGGCGUAAAGAGCUCGUAGGCGGUUUGUCGCGUCUGCCGUGAAAGUCCGGGGCUCAACUCCGGAUCUGCGGUGGGUACGGGCAGACUAGAGUGAUGUAGGGGAGACUGGAAUUCCUGGUGUAGCGGUGAAAUGCGCAGAUAUCAGGAGGAACACCGAUGGCGAAGGCAGGUCUUUGGGCAUUAACUGACGCUGAGGAGCGCAAGCAUGGGGAGCGAAGAGG
rnacentral:rRNA from 1 species